rnacentral:rRNA from 1 species
AGUGAACGCUGGCGGUAGGCCUAACACAUGCAAGUCGAACGGCAGCACAGUAAGAGCUUGCUCUUACGGGUGGCGAGUGGCGGACGGGUGAGGAAUACAUCGGAAUCUACUUUUUCGUGGGGGGUAACGUAGGGAAACUUACGCUAAUACCGCAUACGACCUACGGGUGAAAGCAGGGGAUCUUCGGACCUUUCGCGAUUGAAUGAGCCGAUGUCGGAUUAGCUAGUUGGCGGGGUAAAGGCCCACCAAGGCGACGAUCCGUAGCUGGUCUGAGAGGAUGAUCAGCCACACUAGAACUGAGACACGGUCCAGACUCCUACGGGAGGCAGCAGUGGGGAAUAUUGGACAAUGGGCGCAAGCCUGAUCCAGCCAUACCGCGUGGGUGAAGAAGGCCUUCGGGUUGUAAAGCCCUUUUGUUGGGAAAGAAAAGCAGCAGGUUAAUACCCCGCUGUUCUGACGGUACCCAAAGAAUAAGCACCGGCUAACUUCGUG